AUUGAACGCUGGCGGCAGGCCUAACACAUGCAAGUCGAGCGGAUGAAGGGAGCUUGCUCCUGGAUUCAGCGGCGGACGGGUGAGUAAUGCCUAGGAAUCUGCCUGGUAGUGGGGGAUAACGUCCGGAAACGGGCGCUAAUACCGCAUACGUCCUGAGGGAGAAAGUGGGGGAUCUUCGGACCUCACGCUAUCAGAUGAGCCUAGGUCGGAUUAGCUAGUUGGUGGGGUAAAGGCCUACCAAGGCGACGAUCCGUAACUGGUCUGAGAGGAUGAUCAGUCACACUGGAACUGAGACACGGUCCAGACUCCUACGGGAGGCAGCAGUGGGGAAUAUUGGACAAUAGGCGAAAGCCUGAUCCAGCCAUGCCGCGUGUGUGAAGAAGGUCUUCGGAUUGUAAAGCACUUUAAGUUGUGAGGAAGGGCAGUAAGUUAAUACCUUGCUGUUUUGACGUUACCAACAGAAUAAGCACCGGCUAACUUCGUG
rnacentral:rRNA from 1 species